AACUUGAUGAUUAAAACUAUUGAUGUAACAUUAUUACUGAGGAUGUACAUGCAGGAUAAAUAGUUAAGGAAUUCUUCGUUUAUGAAUUUAGAU
rnacentral:snoRNA from 1 species